rnacentral:tRNA from 1 species
GCUGCGAUGGCCGAGUGGUUAAGGCGUUGGACUCGAAAUCCAAUGGGAUAUUCCCGCACAGGUUCGAACAUUGUUCGCAGCA